GACCUAGUAGCUCAACCAGAAGGGCGUGCGAAUACAAAGCGUAGGCGAUGUUCAUACGUGGGUUCGAAUCCCGCCGAGGCUA
rnacentral:tRNA from 1 species